rnacentral:rRNA from 1 species
AACAGGACGUCACAGAGGGUGAGAAUCCCGUACGUGGUCGCUAGCCUUUACCGUGUAAAGCCCCUUCGACGAGUCGAGUUGUUUGGGAAUGCAGCUCUAAAUGGGAGGUAAAUUUCUUCUAAAGCUAAAUACUGGCCAGAGACCGAUAGCGCACAAGUAGAGUGAUCGAAAGAUGAAAAGCACUUUGGAAAGAGAGUUAAAAAGCACGUGAAAUUGUUGAAAGGGAAGCGCUUGCAGCCAGACUUGCCUGUAGUUGCUCAUCCGGGUUUUUACCCGGUGCACUCUUCUACGGGCAGGCCAGCAUCAGUUUGGGCGGUUGGAUAAAGGUCUCUGUCAUGUACCUCUCUUCGGGGAGAACUUAUAGGGGAGACGACAUGCAACCAGCCUGGACUGAGGUCCGCGCAUCUGCUAGGAUGCUGGCGUAAUGGCUGUAAGCGGCCCGUCUUGAAACACGGACCAAGGAGUCUAACAUCUAUGCGAGUGUUUGGGUGUCAAGCCCGAGCGCGUAAUGAAAGUGAACGGAGGUGGGAACCUUUCGGGGUGCACCAUCGACCGAUCCUGAUGUCUUCGGAUGGAUUUGAGUAAGAGCAUAGCUGUUGGGACCCGAAAGAUGGUGAACUAUGCUUGAAUAGGGUGAAGCCAGAGGAAACUCUGGUGGAGGCUCGCAGCGGUUCUGACGUGCAAAUCGAUCGUCAAAUUUGGGCAUAGGGGCGAAAGA